UCUGAUAUUGCUUUUAAUUUAUUUUUUUCUUGUGAUCCUCCUCCCGGCUGGGACGAGGUUAUCAGAGACUUAUUUCCUAAAAAUCCUUUUUUGGAAAACUUAUUAAUUAAUUAUUUUUCUGGAGACCUCCCCCCCGCUCUUGGUUAUACUGAGACGUUUUUUUUGGAGUUCCCUUCUUUUACUAGGAUACACCUGGAACUCAUCCUCAUCCUCCUGGACCACUGCCCAACACCAACCCAGCUCCAACUUGGGAGGCCCAGCCAACUACUGGACCAAGGAGACCUACACUACCAGGGAUACCCACCAGGCAACAACCAAAGGCACCUGAACCCCAUUCUGCUGGACCACUGCCUUAAACGUCACCCCAGCUCCAACUAGGAAGGCCGAGGAACAAGCCAUCAGCCAUUUACUGGACAAAGGUGACCUCCAACUACACUACCAGGGUUGGAGGGCUCCCUCUCCACCAUCCCGGAAUUAUCCGAUGAAGAGGAAUUCCCACCACUACCAGUCAUCAGUGUUGCUGGUCCCCGGACUGGCACAAUGGAACAGCGAGGAGCCCCGACAACCAUAACGGGAGGGUCACCUAACAUGAUGAGCGGGCAAUUAAAGGCUAAUAUUGCCACUCAAGCCGUAUCUGAGACCUCCCUACCACUUCUCCGCGGAAGUCCACCUCCCACUUGUGCCGUUCGGGGGUCCAGCACACCUCCACCCCCCGAGGAUAGCCCCACAGGACCCUCCUCCACCUCCUCCCCAUUCAGCCUACCACCACACACUCCCACAUCAGGUAAAUACCAUCCCACAUCACACAUCGCCCGACACACCAGGAAACUCCAGGACUGGUCUUUCAAAAGCCGUAGACCAGUCCUGGUGUUGGGGGAUUCCAACAUCAAUCGAAUCCCCCCCCACAACAA